AGAGUUUGAUCCUGGCUCAGGAUGAACGCUGGCGGCGUGCCUAACACAUGCAAGUCGAGCGAUUCUCUUCGGAGAAGAGCGGCGGACGGGUGAGUAACGCGUGGGUAACCUGCCCUGUACACACGGAUAACAUACCGAAAGGUAUGCUAAUACGGGAUAAUAUGCUUUAGUCGCAUGGCUGAAGUAUCAAAGCUCCGGCGGUACAGGAUGGACCCGCGUCUGAUUAGCUAGUUGGUGAGGUAAUGGCUCACCAAGGCGACGAUCAGUAGCCGACCUGAGAGGGUGAUCGGCCACAUUGGAACUGAGACACGGUCCAAACUCCUACGGGAGGCAGCAGUGGGGAAUAUUGCACAAUGGGCGAAAGCCUGAUGUAAGCAACGCCGCGUGAGCGAUGAAGGCCUUCGGGUCGUAAAGCUCUGUCCUCAAGGAAGAUAAUGACGGUACUUGAGGAGGAAGCCCCGGCUAACUACGUGCCAGCAGCGGC
rnacentral:rRNA from 1 species